rnacentral:lncRNA from 1 species
CUAGUACAAGACCAUUGGGGUCCCAGUAAAAGGAGGUAGCUGCCAUUCUUUUUAGCAGCCCCACUGGCUUGAUGCUAGUGCCCCAUUCAUUUUUUAAAAGAAGAUUGUGGGUAGGAUAAUGUGAUCUUGCAAUGAUUUACAGAACAAUGAUGUUAUGCUUUUAAAAAUACUAAUAAUUAUAAUGUUGCAAUCCUAUUUAAUGCCAAAAUGACAACUGGUAGUGUUUGGGAAUAUUUGUAUGAAAACAAUGACAUUUCAUAGUUAAAACUUGGCAUCAGCAAACUUUGAGGAACAAAAAGACUUGGAUUUAAAUGUAAAUCAGCCUUUUAUGAAGUUUACCCUUUGGUUGUACACCAAUCCGUAAAGCUUUCAGUAUUGAUCUAAGAGUUGUCAUCAUGAAGAUUUAUUUUUCAAUCUCUUUCUAACAGAGGCAGAACCUAUUCCCAGGGCCUGACCCAGACCUAGCUGGUGCUGAACUGUCUGGAUGAUGGGGAGAACCUCUAUCAAUACAUCCCAGGAAGUAGAGAACAGAAGUAGACAUAAGAGAGCACAUAUGUAGAAGGUAAUGGAAGUGGAUUUAAAAACCUCAGCAAAAUGUACAAAGCAUGGGAUCUGCCUUUGGGUCUACUCACAGUCUGCAGUCUGCAUGGAACUUACAAUUCCAGCCACUGUGUCCAAGGUCCAGGCAUCAAGAAGGAGGGGGCAAAGGGAAAGGAGAACCUUUACAGAGGAACUGGCUGUCACUGAAGCCCUUGCAAUUGACUGUGGUCUCAGAUGGGGCAAACUUCUCGUGAACUGGUGAGCUGAGGCUGAACCUCACUAACCAACAGGUCUUGCUAAGCAUGUGGUACAUGCUGUGCUUGGUUGUUUGGCAACAAAACCCCCCAUAGGAUGUGCAUUUUAGGUAACAUAUGAAACAAGAAUUGUUAGGAGUUGCCUGCUCCUCCCAGUUACUCAGGAAUCCAUACUGUCAGAAGCUCACCAUCAUAUAACUGAAUGUCCUGGAACAUGUGACCUUCAAGACUUCCAGAGAAAGGAAGAAAAAGAUGAAUGAGGACACUGGCUUUCAACCCUCAGUACACAAAUAAUAUGUCACUUCUGAUCACAGUCCAUUGGUCUAAACAAGUCACAUGACUCCAGGGUCCUGUAAGGAAGGUUGGAUAAUGCAGGACACUUGAAAUAUUUGAGAAGUAUUAACAGUUUCUGCUACAAGUGAGGAGUGAAUAUAAAGGUAGAUAUAGUCCCUACCCUCAAUUUCUGUUCAAAAUAAUGAUACAAAACACAUGGUACUACAUAUUCUUGCAGAGAUACAGAUAAACUGCUGAAGAAGUUAAGGUUCUGGAGAGAUUGGCAAGGUUGGGUCCUGGACAGGAUAUUGGCGAACAUGGCAUUACAAGGGGAGGGGAGCUGAAGAACUGAUAGGCUUUGAUAGAUUUAUUUUUGAACAAAGAUAUGUUGGUAGAAAACCAACAAAAAUAAUAAUUAGUUUGCUUGAAGGUAGACUAUGUAAUAAACAAUAAUACUAAUGACAGCAACAAUGAGUGAUAUUUAAUGGAGCACCAAAUAUAUACCAGACCCAGGUCUAAGUCUUCAUAUAUAUUCACUCAGUUAAUCAUUUCAAUAGUCUUUGGUCAAAGGUGAAGCUCAAAGAAAUUCAGUAAUUUGCUUAGGACCACACUAGUAAAUGGCAGAGCCAGGGUUCUCUCUCUAGGGUUCACUCAUUGAAGGAGCAGAUAAGGGCUAGAUUUCAGAAGGUCAUGAAUACCAGGCUAAUGUGCCUGAGUAUUUACUCUGAAGGCAAAGGUACAACUGAAAAUUUCAAAGCAGGAAUUGCAUGAUAAUAUUGAUAAUUAAAUCAUAAAUGGUAUAGCAUGGGGACCUGGGAGAAAUGAAGAAAUGGAGCUGGUCUUCAGUGAUGCAGAGGCUAUGGCCAAUCAAAGAGAAAUAAAGAAUGUUCCAGGCAAGGACAGGCUCACUGGGGGUGUAGAAGUAGGAAUGAAUAUGGUGUGGAACAAGAUAAUGAGAUUUUUCUGACUGGUACAGGUUUAUGGUGUGGAACAAGCUAGUGAGAUUUUUCUGACCGGUACAGGUUUCAUAGUGCGAGUGGAGAUGGGACAAGCGUUAUGGUGAGGGAUCCUAAAGUCAGACCAGGGAGUGCGGUUCAAUUUAGUAGGAAGGGAAGAAACAUCGGUGCUUUGAAGACACAGUAGGAAUGAAUUAAGUGUUGCCUCUUCAUGUCUUUCGCUGUCCUCAGUCUUACUCUAGUCAUGGGCCCAACAUUCCUGGACUUUCAAAGCCUGGGGCGAUUUUUAAAGGCUCCUUGUUGUUCUUUCAAAAGAGUUCCUCUUCUCUACAAGCAAUAAAAUAGUUGAAGUCAGGUUGUUAUUUUCUUUUUUCUAUGAGCCAUUACAAAGGUGUGAAAUAGUAGACACUUACGCAUCUGUGAAUAAGAUUGUGGGCUAAAACGUGUGAGUUCCCAUCUCAGCUAAUGAACCAGAAUAUGGUUUUAAUUUCUGAACUGCUAAAAUGUUCUGCCUUUUUUGGUCAUUCCUACAGAAGACUUCAUAUUUUAAUAAUUCAGUGUAGCCUAAUUACUUUAAUUAAUCACCUUCUUUUCAGAGAUGUCAGUGGGCUUUGUUAUUUUUGUGUUACUGUAGGUACUAUUGGGAGUUUUAAGGAAUUUUAAAAAUAUAUAUGUAAUAACCCAGGUUAACUCUUUAAUAGGGUCUGAAAUGUGUAUCCUAUUCCUCAGAGUGAUUUGUCCUUUGCAGAUGCCUACUAGUCAUGCCCAUAAACUCCUGCCACUUCCAUCACAUUCCCUCCCUAAGGCCAGUUAACCAAACCAUCUCGGACCAUUCUGUGCCUAAAACAUUGCUGUCUGGAG